GAGGGAGUGGCGCAGUGGUAAUAGCGCUUGGUGACCUAUCUCGAAAGGUCGUGGGUUCGAAUCCUGCCUCCCUCA